rnacentral:rRNA from 1 species
GACGGAGGAUGCAAGUGUUAUCCGGAAUCACUGGGCGUAAAGCGUCUGUAGGUGGUUUAAUAAGUCAACUGUUAAAUCUUGAGGCUCAACCUCAAAAUCGCAGUCGAAACUAUUAGGCUAGAGUAUAGUAGGGGUAAAGGGAAUUUCCAGUGGAGCGGUGAAAUGCGUAGAUAUCGGGAGGAACACCAGUGGCGAAGGCGAUCAUCUGGGGUUGUUCUGACACUGAGGAGCGAAAGCUAGGGGAGCAAACGGG